rfam:Loktanella sp. 1ANDIMAR09 PM06_005, whole genome shotgun sequence.
AAGUCGGGAGGGUGCCGGUGGGACGGCAGCCACGAAUAGACUUUAGAACCCCCGGUCAAAUGGGUGAAGCGUCGCGGCCCGGGCGAUGUGGAA